UUAUCCUCUAGGAUAACAAGAACAUCUGCCAGAUUCCUUCAAAAUACUUUGAUUUGGAAAUCUUCCUCCAUCUCUUCCCUAUAAGUAGAGCCUGACUAGGGGAUUCUGGUGCAAAUGGUUUACUGGGGGAGUGCCUCAGGAGAAAGCUGAGAUGCCGUCAGAGCUGGGCUCUGGAGCACAAAUUAUGUCUAGAGUUGGCCCGGCUCGAAGGCAAGGGGACUGGCCUUCUGCUCCCCACAGCAUUCGGUCAUUGGCAGCCCAGUGAAGCGGGCAUCUGUGAGCUCUCAGCAGUCCACACCCACAGCAGCCAGGGGAUGGCCUCACGAGCCGGACGGGGCAAUUUUAGCAUCUACUUCAUGUUCCUCACGUUUUUCAAGGUCUCCCGAAUACCCUGUGACUGUGGAAGGGGUUAUAAAAAUUGAGGAAAGGGAUGGAUUUCACUUCUGAGUUGAAAUAAUUAACCACUGGACUAAUUCAUCAAAACAAGAGUCAGGGCCACAGGUGACUAUGAGACUGUGUGUGGUCUCCCCUGCUCCCACCAUGUGCAAACUCCUGGGAGAGAAUUGGAAUCCCACAAGACUGAGAGUGGGGUUACACUGACACCAGCAUAGCUAAGCCUUAUGAGAACCCAGCAAGUCGUGUAUCCCUACUUCCCUGAAAAGAAAACCAAAGUGCAAAAAGGUGAAGAUAAUGACGUUAUAAAUCCAAACAAGGGUGCGGAUUUUUGUUUGUUUGUUUGUUUGCGGAACGCAGGCCUCCCACUGCCGCGGCCUCUCUUGCUGCGGAGCACAGGCUCCGGACACUCAGGCCCAGCGGCCAUGGCUCACGGGCCCAGCCGCUCUGCGGCAUGCGGGAUCCUCCUGGACCGGGGCACAAACCCGCGUCCCCUGCAUCAGCAGGCGGACUCCCAACCACUGCGCCACCAGGGAAGCCCAAGGGUGAGGAUUUUAAUAAAAGCAGUGGCAGAGGAGAGAAAGGGAAGAGAAGUUCAUGGUUUUUGAGCACCUUCGUGGCACCGGGCUCUAUGAUGCAGGCAUACAUGCUUUGCAUGCAGUUAAUCCAUGACCAACUCAUUUAGUCCUGGAAACCAUCCUGAGAGAGUAUUACCCCAGGCCAAGGCCCAGGAAAUGGAGACUCUGGGGAGGUAAGGUGUUAAGACAGGCCCACUAUUUGCUGCCCAGUACCCAUUCUCUCGUUCCUUAUGACAGAACCCAGCUUCCUUAGGUGUAACAAUGCGUCUGGUUAGAAGAAUUGCUGCCUAAGUUCCCACUGGCCAAACUUGGGACAACUUGAGCAUUAUAGCAGUUUGACAGUUUGAACCUAUAACAUAUUGAACUUUUUAAAAAAUGCAAUAGUCCAUGCGUUAAAAGAGAGGGGAUGUAAAAAGGGGGGGGUCUUCUUUACAAAAGAAUGACAGCAAAUCAGUGUGAGAUUCAAAAAUCGCCACUUUGUGACCCUCAGUGAAUUAACUGAAUCACAGAAAUCAGUGGAUCCUAAGCUGCUGAGUGACAACUCCCAAGUCUCCCACAGAUUUCUGAACACUCAUAAAGAGAAAACCAUCACAUUGAUGAGGCCUGGAGGUCACUUCCUUAACUAAGUGGCUGGACUUAGCAUCACAGAGAGUGGGACAGCAUGACGUGAUGCCCCUCCCCAGGAGAUGUAAGGGACACACGGUGUCCCCUUUGGAGUGUCGUGGCCAAAAAUGCGUGACCUGAAUCCAAUCGUGAGGAAACAAUGAGACGAAUCCAGAAUGUGAGCUCCUACAAGACAGCUGUCCUGGACUCUUCCAGGAGGCUAACGUCGUGAAAAAACAAGUUUCAAAACAUGAAAGAAGCAUAACAAUGAGACACAGCCGUGAGUCUUGAUUAUAUCCUGGAUUAAAAUGACAGUAACAGCAACAAAGCUAUAAAAAGGCAAAACGCGGUUGUGCGGGACAUGGCAUGCCCGGCCACCAGAGAAGGCUCUCUGCCUGCGCGUCUGGAACGUGUGGCUUCCUCGGCUGACUCACCAGGACGAGUGAGCCUCAGCGCCUAGAGAACGGAGCCCCAGCUUGCCCUGCCUCGGCAACUGUCACCCCCAUUGACAUCCACUGGCCAUUCAGGCGCACUGCCCCUCCCACCUGCAGGAGUGGGGAAGUGCUGUCUUCUGUGAGGAGGAGGAGAAAGGAACCAUCUAAACACUAGACCAUCAGGCACAAGUGGUGAAUGAACAGCUCACUGACCCCUUACUGUUUCCUGAGAAGGCCCACGCAAGAAAGAUGUACUGAUAAUAACCGAGAAAUUCCAGACGCUGAAAGAUCACAUUGAGACAAAAUCACAGUCCUUCUGUGCACAGGUGUCGCGAUGACAGCACGCACACGUCUUCUGCCACACAGUAGCCAUGUUGCAUGGAUCUUCUGUCUCACGAAGGUGUUUCCUGGGUGCUACGAUUGUGACCCAGCGACGCGGGCAUGUUUGUACCUUUGAAAGCGAGUUGUUGCUGCUCGUGGCUUGCCUGACUUUCCUUUUUGCUGUGUGCUGACACACGCUUCCUCUGGGCUAAAGUUUGGAGACCACUGGGGAGGAGUGGAGCGCUGAUGAGAAGGGGGCUGGAGUGACGGAUACUCUCAGGCAGGAGGCUCGGGUGGGCCCACGGCCUGGGAGCCACCCAGAGGAGUCACUGAGGGAGUGGGGCCCCAGUGCUGGGGCGAAUCUCCGAGUUUUCUGUGACUCUCCACCUCUGAACCUCAGGCUGUUCAUCUGUAGGAUGGGGGUGAUUCAGGCCCUCGUAACCACCCCCUACAAGCCUGGGAAACGAGAGUGGCUGGAUGCGGGGCCAUCUGUAGCGUUCCGGACGUUUGGGCUCGCGUUGAGGCUUUUGCUGAGCGUACUGUGAGCCGGAUGGCUCCUGAGAGGUGGAGGAUAGGGGCAGAGCCAGCUCCGUUGAAGGAGAGUGGGGUUUGGAGUGAAGCAAGGAAGGCAGAAACCUGGUUGAAGAGGAAACUUGGGAAAGGCGGUUAUGAUUCCAAGUGGCAGAUGGAUAGAUGUCGUUCAGUAAUAGAUGGCAGGACCCUCUCUUUCUUUCCAUGUAAUUCAUUUUCACUAAAGUUUGCCUCAGUCAGCAGUGCCUUUAAAUUGGAUUAGGUAGUUUCGUGCAAAGAGUUUGUGUCUGGCCCCAAGCAGGCUCAACGAACCUCCCCCAAAUCCAUCCUCGGACCAUCAGUAAGGACCCUUUAGAGGAUAGUUGGCCAACGGUGGCCCUAGGGAAGGAAGUGGCAGGGCCCUGAGUAGGAGGAGAAUGGGCUGUGGCGGGGAAAACUCCGGAAAGGCUGGUUGGAUCUUGAGGACAGAGGCCUUGAAUGCUGGGUAUGUCCUACCCUGAGGCAUGGCAGUGGAAGACUCUUGACUUGGGGGCUGUGCUUUGGGAAGCUCUCUGCAACCCCUCAGUGGAGGACCUCUUUGCAGUAGCUGUGGAGAUGGAUGGCUGAUGACAGGGCCCACCCCUGAAGCACAGCCUGCCCUUCACCACCAUCUGAGUUUGAGGGAGACUGCAGCACCCUCCCCACUGCCCCGCCCUGGCAGACACUGGUGGUCCGGGAACCUCCUGUCUCCAGCCUUGUGCUGCCACAGGGAGGGACAGGCAUUAGCGUGACACUCGGGUAGAAGUUCCUGCGGGGAUUCGGCAUGUGACACCGUGGCAGCUCUCCCCUCUCCCCUCUGAGGUCUGCCUGCCUGCUUGGAGCCUGUGCUUCUCCACGUGGGGGACUCAGUGCAGACAGUCCGGGUCCGUGGAGGAUGGAGGUUCUUCCCAUCUGCCUGCCCAGCAGGUCGGCCGCAUCUCCCCUCACGGUGUUGGUGUGGAGAUGCCAGCCUGGGCUCGGAGCAUCACACCUGCCCACCUCUGUCCGCCCAGCUGGAGGGAGCAGCUGCGGAAGGGCGCUCUCCCUUUCAGCACAAAGGAAUCUCUCCCAGAAGCCAGUCUCUCCUGGAGUCACGCUGGUCACCCCAGCCAGGGCCUGCCCAGGCAGAGGGGGCAGGGUGGCCACGGCAGGUUAAACCUGCGCCGAUCACUCCCCAGGCCUGAGGGAACCAGCCGCCGGCACCGACUCUCGGGAUCUUUGCUGCUUGUUUGUUUACCGUUGGUCUCCAGCCAGUACCACCCACAACACGCACAGCUCCCCAAACAGAAGCUUCGGAGCAGAAGGACUGUGUCUGCUCCAUUCAUCCCUGAAUUCCGGGCACCUGGCACAGGGCCGGGGACGGAGCGGCGCUCAAGGCAUCGGUGACUGAGUCACUGACUGGCUGAAUGGGCUCCCCUGCUGGUGAGCGAGUUGCUCCAGGUUCAGAGAGGCAAGAAACUGAGUAGUUAAGAGUGAAGAUUUUCAUCUCAGUCCCAGCUCGGCUGCCCGUGUGGUCUCCAAAAAGUUCCUUCACCUCCCUCUGCCUCGGUUUCCGCAUCUGUAAAACAGGCCUAAGCACAGUACCUACCUGUAGCGCUGAUGUGGGAUUGCAUGAGUUAGUACACGUCAUGGACCCAGAACAAUAUCUGGCAAAGGGGAAACGCUCAGUCAUCAGUAGUUAUUGCUGUGCCACGCAUCGACCGAAGAAGCCUGCCAGCCGGGGCUCAGACAGGGAGCGCGGCUCGCCUGAGGCCACACAGCAGGAAGGAGGCAGACAUGAGAUCUGAACCCUGGUCCAAACGUCUCAGAAGCCAGAGCCCUUUCCAGGGUCCCACCUGGCUGUGGCGCCUCCCUUGAAGCGUGGCCUGCCUGGCCCGGGAAAGGGGGUUGGGGUGGGGGAGGGCAGGAGGGGCUGCUGGGGAGACCGUCCUGGUACUGGCUCCCUGCCCCACUCUCGAUCCCUUCCACCCCCUGCAGCUGCACCCACUCCCCACCAUGGGACUCUCACAGAGUUUUAUGAAUCAUUAAAAUGUACCCACAGACUUUAAGGAAAUAACACUGGGCUGUAAUAAGAGCUACAAAGCGACAGGAUUCCUCAGAGAGCUCAGUGGUAAAGCUGGUUGCCUACUUGGCAAGAUGGUUUUCCAGCCUUUUGCGUCUAUUAGCAGGGGAAGGGAGGGACCGACCGUGGAGUGCCCCGUGGGCUCUGAGCAGCCGCAGGAGGCUCCUUCGGAGCAGCCUGUGCGUUUUCUGCAUUCAAGGUCCCACACGGAGCAGCGGCCACACCAGAGCGUUGGGGGGGACCGUUACCUCCCUCCCAUCAUCUCCGUCACCCCUCUCAGCCAUGCUAAACAAAAUACCCUCUAAGUAGAAGCCUUGUGUUUGCAUUGCAAAUGGAGCUUCAAGAUAGCCUCCCAGGUUUUCACCAGUGUGAUAGAGAAGAACAUUUUGUUUUAAUUUUAGUUGCAAUUCUCUGACUGUUACUAUAUCUAAAGCUAAGCAUCUUUACAUUUGUGCCGCUCCUUGAUAUUCUUUUAUCUGUGAAUCACCUUCUCAUAUACUUGGCCCACCUUGCUUUUUUGUUCUGUUUUGGUUUGGGUCCUUCCGUUAUUGGUUUGCAGGAGCUUUUAUAUGCUCUAGAUGUCACUCCUCUUUUCGAAUGCUCUGUUUUCUCCCAUCUACCACUUGUCUUUUAACUGUAGGUCAUUUUUUGACAAACAAGUUUAAACUUUUUUCAUUCAGAUAUCUAAUUCAUGCUCUUUUUUGGGUUGUAGAUUUUAUGUAUUAGUAAGGAAUUAUCUCCUACUGAACUUGUAAACAGUUUUUUAACGUUUACCUUUUAAAACCACUUGCAGUUUAUUUUUUAUUAUGCUAUGGGAUUAUGCUGGAUAGAAUGUUUUCAUAUAAAUAACCAAUUAUGUAGAUUUUAUAUAUAGCCUUUAUCAUUUAUUGACUAUUUUGUUUUGCCACUGAAUUUAAAAAGCCAACUUCAUGAUACACUAUUUUCCAUAUGUGCAUAGUACACUGCUAGAUUUGUUUCUCUAUUCUUUAGCUGUUUUAUGGCAACUCACCACUGAUUGAACUACUGUAACUUUAUCAGAUAUUUGGAUAUCUGACAAGGAAAGUCCCCUCAUUGUUCUUCUCUCUUAACUUUUCUUGACCACCUCUGGAGAUUUCCCUUCUCGGGGAAAGAAAUCAUCUUGUCAUAUACCAUUAACAGUCUAUCUGAGAUUUCAACUGGGGUUCCAUUGGAUUUAUAGAUUAAUUUAUGGGAGAGCUGAUAUAGCUAGCUCUUCUUUUUUUUUUUUUGUGGUACGCGGGCCUCUCACUGCUGCGGCCUCUCCCGUUGCGGAGCACAGGCUCCGGACGCGCAGGCUCAGCGGCCAUGGCUCACGGGCCCAGCCGCUCCGCGGCAUGUGGGAUCGUCCCGGACCGGGGCACGAACCCGUGUCCCCUGCAUCGGCAGGCGGACUCCCAACCCCUGCGCCACCAGGGAAGCCCAAGAAUGAGUUCAUUUUUCAUUUCAUUUUAUAAUCGGUUUUUGCUAGUAUGUAAUUAAGCUAUUGGUUUUUUCUAUGCUGAUCUUAUAUGUGGCUGCACUGUUAAACUCUCUCAUUGGUUUUGCCAAUAGAUUCUCUUGAGAAUUUUCCAGGUAGGUCAUCCUACGGUCUGCAGAUAAUCUCAAUUUUGUUCCUUUUUUCCAGUAUUAAUGACAUUUUCCCUCGUAUUAUAGUACUGGCUAGAAUCUCCAACAAAAAGGUUGAAUAGCACAAUGAUACUAACACUGACUCUAUUUCGGUACCAAGUGGUGACGAUCACUGUAGGGUUUCAAUGCCCCUUAUCAUAUUAAGAAAGAACCUAAUUUUCUAGCUGCUUUGUUUUUUAUCUUGAAAGUAUAUAUGUUGAAUAUUUUCAAAAGUGUUUUUGUUCUCUAUGAAAAUAGUUAUGUGAUCUUUCUUGUACUCUAGAAAAGCAGUGAUUUAAACCGGUAGAUUUUUAUUCUAAAGUUGAACACAUACCUGCGUUCUUGGGAUGUCUCUUAAUAUACUGCCAAACUGAAUUUGCUAAGUUUUAAAAAAUAAAAAUCAAUUUAAUUUAAAAUAUAAUACUCUAAAAAUGUUCUGUUCAUCAUAAUUUAAAAUGAAAAACACGGAACACAUUCAAUUAAUAAAAACAUAACAUUUACAUAUUUUUGAGAUUUUUUUUUAAUGAAGGGAGAGAAACAAAAAAAGGUUAAAAACGAAAGUGGAAAAAAGACACUUUCACACAAACAUCUAGACACAAAGAAACUAAAAAUGUGAAACUAAAGAAAAAAGACAAAUUCGAGAACAAAGGCCGAGAGACUCACAAACAAACAUAUUCGGAAGACAUAUAGAUGAAAAAUAGAUAGAUGUAUACACAAUUAUAGAGAGAGAUGGGGGCGGGGAGAGAGAGGAGGGAGAGAGGAAAGCAGAGCCGGGAAUAUACGCUGAGGCUGCAGUAAGGGUAGAAUGAUUCUUAGGCAGAGUGACCUUAUGGGCAGCACCCCAUCGUCUGUAUGGCCCUCAGGUUUCCGUUCUAUACGGCAUUUUAUCUGAGUGUUUUGCGCCCGUGUUUAUGAAGAAGACCGGCGUAUGGCUUUAUUUUCCUGAGCUCUUCUCCUUUGUCUCUUCAUCUGUUGAAACAUCUAUUUCAUUGACCAGCUGCAUUGCUUUUGUUUGUAUUUUAUUAAUUUCUACUUUAGCUUUAAUCCCAUCAUUCUACUUUUUUGGAUUGUUUAAAUGGUUUUUAAAUAGUUUCUUUAUUUGAAAGUUUAGUUCAUCUAUUUUCAAUCUUUUUUUGUUUUCUAAUAAAUGCAUAUAAGUCAUACUUUUUCCUUUGAGUAUUGCUGUGGCAGAAAAACAUUCUGUAAUAUGGUGCAUCUGUGAUGGUUCAGACAUUAAAUAGUUCAUACAUUAUAUAUUUUAAUUUUCCCUUUAAUUCAAGAGCUAUUUAAAUGUUUUUUUUAACCUUUAGUUUUAUCCUAUUUCAGUCAGCCUAAGUAAUAGCAGCUCUUUGAAGUUUAUUAAGAUUUCCUUAACGGCCUUGCAUAGGUCAGUUUUCCAGAAUAUUCCAUUUGUGGUUAAAAGAAUAUAUAAUCUCUGCCAGUUGAGCAGAAUGGUAAUUAGAUUAAGCUCAUUACUUAUUUUAUUCAA